GACGAACGCUGGCGGUGUGCUUAACACAUGCAAGUCGAACGGUAAGGCCCUUUCGGGGGUACACGAGUGGCGAACGGGUGAGUAACACGUGAGUAACCUGCCCUCAUCUCUGGGAUAACAGUCGGAAACGGUUGCUAAUACUGGAUAUGAGCUUGCACGGCAUCUUGUGGGUUGGAAAGAUUUUUUUUGGUUGGGGAUGGACUCGCGGCCUAUCAGCUUGUUGGUGAGGUAGUGGCUCACCAAGGCUUCGACGGGUAGCCGGUCUGAGAGGGCGACCGGCCACAUUGGGACUGAGAUACGGCCCAAACUCCUACGGGAGGCAGCAGUGGGGAAUAUUGCACAAUGGACGGAAGUCUGAUGCAGCAACGCCGCGUGCGGGAUGACGGCCUUCGGGUUGUAAACCGCUUUCAAUUGUGACGAAGCUUUUUUGUGACGGUAGCAGUAGAAGAAGCACCGGCUAACUACGUG
rnacentral:rRNA from 1 species